CUCCGUCGGAUGCAGGAGUACUGGGCCUCCGUCGGAUGCGCCGUCAUGCAGUGCAGCAACACCAAAUCACCACCCUUUUCCUCUCUUCUACUCCUACUUGUAUCCGCCAGCUAUGUAGAUUCACCAGCAGCAGCAUCAAUCAAUGGCUGAUAGAUAUAAUGACGGUUCUUGAUUUUCCCAAUCAAUCCAUCGAGCAGGUCGGCGCCGGGACGAUGAACCCCCUCACCUUCAUCCGGGUGCUGGGCCGCGAGCCGUGGAACGUCGCGUGAGUGACCCGACCCUGCAUCUUAUCCAUUCAACCGGUGCAGCUCGCUAGGAUGCUCAGGCGAUAGGUUUGUUCUUUCCAUUAGUUCGAUUGAUUCAGGUUUGUCUCGGAUGGUUUGGGUUCAAGGCAUCUUUGAUGCUAUUGUACGGUGGCAUGUAUGUGAUUUACUUCUUUUGUUUGUUCUCUCGACCCUGUCACUCUCCGUUGGAUUUUGGGAGUUUGCCCUGCUAUCCAUCUGUGUGAUGCAGUCCUCCUUUCCAUGUCCUUUUGUUCUUUUUAUUGUGUUUUUUGGUCUUGCUUACAAUUUGUUGGUCAUGCUUAACAUACUCUUGCCUGUAGUUAGACAUUUGUAGCUGAAAGAGAAGUAUAUUAUGCAAUACAGAGGAACUCUAUGAAUUACUCUUUGCCUGGUAACCUUUUUCUAUAUUUACAUUUGUUUCAGGUCCUAUUGGAGUUUAUCUACUGCAAAUGUUCUGCUGCGAUUUAGCUCGGAGCGCUGCCUCGAGUGCUUAGUUUCGUCUUGCCGAGGUUUCAUUUUCCUCUUCCAACCUUAUUUUCUUGUGCUUGUAUUAUAUUCAGUCUUUUAAUCAAUUCUAACUGCGUGUGUUCCGUGCGUUGUGUUCUUUCUUACCUGUUGUUGCUCUCUCCCUUCUCCUUUUCACUCAUUUCUUUGAUUUAACGACAUAAUAUCUCAUCUUUGUUCGUGUAGAUUCAUUUUUGUAUCUACCUAUGAGGCGGUUGAUGAAAAUCCAAGAUACUGCAGUGGCAGAUUAAUAUAUGUGUAACAAAUUAUGCUUGAUAAUCUGCCCAAAAUUUUCAUGACAUUUAGUCUCGGUCCUUGAUUAUUUUCUUUCGAAGGAGGGUUCCAGGAGUACUGGGCCUCCGUCGGAUGCAGGAGUACUGGGCCUCCGUCGGAUGCGCCGUCAUGCAGUGCAGCAACACCAAAUCACCACCCUUUUCCUCUCUUCUACUCCUACUUGUAUCCGCCAGCUAUGUAGAUUCACCAGCAGCAGCAUCAAUCAAUGGCUGAUAGAUAUAAUGACGGUUCUUGAUUUUCCCAAUCAAUCCAUCGAGCAGGUCGGCGCCGGGACGAUGAACCCCCUCACCUUCAUCCGGGUGCUGGGCCGCGAGCCGUGGAACGUCGCCCGGUGCAGCUCGCUAGGAUGCUCAGGCGAUAGGUUUGUUCUUUCCAUUAGUUCGAUUGAUUCAGGUUUGUCUCGGAUGGUUUGGGUUCAAGGCAUCUUUGAUGCUAUUGUACGGUGGCAUGUAUGUGAUUUACUUCUUUUGUUUGUUCUCUCGACCCUGUCACUCUCCGUUGGAUUUUGGGAGUUUGCCCUGCUAUCCAUCUGUGUGAUGCAGUCCUCCUUUCCAUGUCCUUUUGUUCUUUUUAUUGUGUUUUUUGGUCUUGCUUACAAUUUGUUGGUCAUGCUUAACAUACUCUUGCCUGUAGUUAGACAUUUGUAGCUGAAAGAGAAGUAUAUUAUGCAAUACAGAGGAACUCUAUGAAUUACUCUUUGCCUGGUAACCUUUUUCUAUAUUUACAUUUGUUUCAGGUCCUAUUGGAGUUUAUCUACUGCAAAUGUUCUGCUGCGAUUUAGCUCGGAGCGCUGCCUCGAGUGCUUAGUUUCGUCUUGCCGAGGUUUCAUUUUCCUCUUCCAACCUUAUUUUCUUGUGCUUGUAUUAUAUUCAGUCUUUUAAUCAAUUCUAACUGCGUGUGUUCCGUGCGUUGUGUUCUUUCUUACCUGUUGUUGCUCUCUCCCUUCUCCUUUUCACUCAUUUCUUUGAUUUAACGACAUAAUAUCUCAUCUUUGUUCGUGUAGAUUCAUUUUUGUAUCUACCUAUGAGGCGGUUGAUGAAAAUCCAAGAUACUGCAGUGGCAGAUUAAUAUAUGUGUAACAAAUUAUGCUUGAUAAUCUGCCCAAAAUUUUCAUGACAUUUAGUCUCGGUCCUUGAUUAUUUUCUUUCGAAGGAGGGUUCCAGGAGUACUGGGCCUCCGUCGGAUGCAGGAGUACUGGGCCUCCGUCGGAUGCGCCGUCAUGCAGUGCAGCAACACCAAAUCACCACCCUUUUCCUCUCUUCUACUCCUACUUGUAUCCGCCAGCUAUGUAGAUUCACCAGCAGCAGCAUCAAUCAAUGGCUGAUAGAUAUAAUGACGGUUCUUGAUUUUCCCAAUCAAUCCAUCGAGCAGGUCGGCGCCGGGACGAUGAACCCCCUCACCUUCAUCCGGGUGCUGGGCCGCGAGCCGUGGAACGUCGCCCGGUGCAGCUCGCUAGGAUGCUCAGGCGAUAGGUUUGUUCUUUCCAUUAGUUCGAUUGAUUCAGGUUUGUCUCGGAUGGUUUGGGUUCAAGGCAUCUUUGAUGCUAUUGUACGGUGGCAUGUAUGUGAUUUACUUCUUUUGUUUGUUCUCUCGACCCUGUCACUCUCCGUUGGAUUUUGGGAGUUUGCCCUGCUAUCCAUCUGUGUGAUGCAGUCCUCCUUUCCAUGUCCUUUUGUUCUUUUUAUUGUGUUUUUUGGUCUUGCUUACAAUUUGUUGGUCAUGCUUAACAUACUCUUGCCUGUAGUUAGACAUUUGUAGCUGAAAGAGAAGUAUAUUAUGCAAUACAGAGGAACUCUAUGAAUUACUCUUUGCCUGGUAACCUUUUUCUAUAUUUACAUUUGUUUCAGGUCCUAUUGGAGUUUAUCUACUGCAAAUGUUCUGCUGCGAUUUAGCUCGGAGCGCUGCCUCGAGUGCUUAGUUUCGUCUUGCCGAGGUUUCAUUUUCCUCUUCCAACCUUAUUUUCUUGUGCUUGUAUUAUAUUCAGUCUUUUAAUCAAUUCUAACUGCGUGUGUUCCGUGCGUUGUGUUCUUUCUUACCUGUUGUUGCUCUCUCCCUUCUCCUUUUCACUCAUUUCUUUGAUUUAACGACAUAAUAUCUCAUCUUUGUUCGUGUAGAUUCAUUUUUGUAUCUACCUAUGAGGCGGUUGAUGAAAAUCCAAGAUACUGCAGUGGCAGAUUAAUAUAUGUGUAACAAAUUAUGCUUGAUAAUCUGCCCAAAAUUUUCAUGACAUUUAGUCUCGGUCCUUGAUUAUUUUCUUUCGAAGGAGGGUUCCAGGAGUACUGGGCCUCCGUCGGAUGCAGGAGUACUGGGCCUCCGUCGGAUGCGCCGUCAUGCAGUGCAGCAACACCAAAUCACCACCCUUUUCCUCUCUUCUACUCCUACUUGUAUCCGCCAGCUAUGUAGAUUCACCAGCAGCAGCAUCAAUCAAUGGCUGAUAGAUAUAAUGACGGUUCUUGAUUUUCCCAAUCAAUCCAUCGAGCAGGUCGGCGCCGGGACGAUGAACCCCCUCACCUUCAUCCGGGUGCUGGGCCGCGAGCCGUGGAACGUCGCCCGGUGCAGCUCGCUAGGAUGCUCAGGCGAUAGGUUUGUUCUUUCCAUUAGUUCGAUUGAUUCAGGUUUGUCUCGGAUGGUUUGGGUUCAAGGCAUCUUUGAUGCUAUUGUACGGUGGCAUGUAUGUGAUUUACUUCUUUUGUUUGUUCUCUCGACCCUGUCACUCUCCGUUGGAUUUUGGGAGUUUGCCCUGCUAUCCAUCUGUGUGAUGCAGUCCUCCUUUCCAUGUCCUUUUGUUCUUUUUAUUGUGUUUUUUGGUCUUGCUUACAAUUUGUUGGUCAUGCUUAACAUACUCUUGCCUGUAGUUAGACAUUUGUAGCUGAAAGAGAAGUAUAUUAUGCAAUACAGAGGAACUCUAUGAAUUACUCUUUGCCUGGUAACCUUUUUCUAUAUUUACAUUUGUUUCAGGUCCUAUUGGAGUUUAUCUACUGCAAAUGUUCUGCUGCGAUUUAGCUCGGAGCGCUGCCUCGAGUGCUUAGUUUCGUCUUGCCGAGAUUCAUUUUUGUAUCUACCUAUGAGGCGGUUGAUGAAAAUCCAAGAUACUGCAGUGGCAGAUUAAUAUAUGUGUAACAAAUUAUGCUUGAUAAUCUGCCCAAAAUUUUCAUGACAUUUAGUCUCGGUCCUUGAUUAUUUUCUUUCGAAGGAGGGUUCCAGGAGUACUGGGCCUCCGUCGGAUGCAGGAGUACUGGGCCUCCGUCGGAUGCGCCGUCAUGCAGUGCAGCAACACCAAAUCACCACCCUUUUCCUCUCUUCUACUCCUACUUGUAUCCGCCAGCUAUGUAGAUUCACCAGCAGCAGCAUCAAUCAAUGGCUGAUAGAUAUAAUGACGGUUCUUGAUUUUCCCAAUCAAUCCAUCGAGCAGGUCGGCGCCGGGACGAUGAACCCCCUCACCUUCAUCCGGGUGCUGGGCCGCGAGCCGUGGAACGUCGCCCGGUGCAGCUCGCUAGGAUGCUCAGGCGAUAGGUUUGUUCUUUCCAUUAGUUCGAUUGAUUCAGGUUUGUCUCGGAUGGUUUGGGUUCAAGGCAUCUUUGAUGCUAUUGUACGGUGGCAUGUAUGUGAUUUACUUCUUUUGUUUGUUCUCUCGACCCUGUCACUCUCCGUUGGAUUUUGGGAGUUUGCCCUGCUAUCCAUCUGUGUGAUGCAGUCCUCCUUUCCAUGUCCUUUUGUUCUUUUUAUUGUGUUUUUUGGUCUUGCUUACAAUUUGUUGGUCAUGCUUAACAUACUCUUGCCUGUAGUUAGACAUUUGUAGCUGAAAGAGAAGUAUAUUAUGCAAUACAGAGGAACUCUAUGAAUUACUCUUUGCCUGGUAACCUUUUUCUAUAUUUACAUUUGUUUCAGGUCCUAUUGGAGUUUAUCUACUGCAAAUGUUCUGCUGCGAUUUAGCUCGGAGCGCUGCCUCGAGUGCUUAGUUUCGUCUUGCCGAGGUUUCAUUUUCCUCUUCCAACCUUAUUUUCUUGUGCUUGUAUUAUAUUCAGUCUUUUAAUCAAUUCUAACUGCGUGUGUUCCGUGCGUUGUGUUCUUUCUUACCUGUUGUUGCUCUCUCCCUUCUCCUUUUCACUCAUUUCUUUGAUUUAACGACAUAAUAUCUCAUCUUUGUUCGUGUAGAUUCAUUUUUGUAUCUACCUAUGAGGCGGUUGAUGAAAAUCCAAGAUACUGCAGUGGCAGAUUAAUAUAUGUGUAACAAAUUAUGCUUGAUAAUCUGCCCAAAAUUUUCAUGACAUUUAGUCUCGGUCCUUGAUUAUUUUCUUUCGAAGGAGGGUUCCAGGAGUACUGGGCCUCCGUCGGAUGCAGGAGUACUGGGCCUCCGUCGGAUGCGCCGUCAUGCAGUGCAGCAACACCAAAUCACCACCCUUUUCCUCUCUUCUACUCCUACUUGUAUCCGCCAGCUAUGUAGAUUCACCAGCAGCAGCAUCAAUCAAUGGCUGAUAGAUAUAAUGACGGUUCUUGAUUUUCCCAAUCAAUCCAUCGAGCAGGUCGGCGCCGGGACGAUGAACCCCCUCACCUUCAUCCGGGUGCUGGGCCGCGAGCCGUGGAACGUCGCCCGGUGCAGCUCGCUAGGAUGCUCAGGCGAUAGGUUUGUUCUUUCCAUUAGUUCGAUUGAUUCAGGUUUGUCUCGGAUGGUUUGGGUUCAAGGCAUCUUUGAUGCUAUUGUACGGUGGCAUGUAUGUGAUUUACUUCUUUUGUUUGUUCUCUCGACCCUGUCACUCUCCGUUGGAUUUUGGGAGUUUGCCCUGCUAUCCAUCUGUGUGAUGCAGUCCUCCUUUCCAUGUCCUUUUGUUCUUUUUAUUGUGUUUUUUGGUCUUGCUUACAAUUUGUUGGUCAUGCUUAACAUACUCUUGCCUGUAGUUAGACAUUUGUAGCUGAAAGAGAAGUAUAUUAUGCAAUACAGAGGAACUCUAUGAAUUACUCUUUGCCUGGUAACCUUUUUCUAUAUUUACAUUUGUUUCAGGUCCUAUUGGAGUUUAUCUACUGCAAAUGUUCUGCUGCGAUUUAGCUCGGAGCGCUGCCUCGAGUGCUUAGUUUCGUCUUGCCGAGGUUUCAUUUUCCUCUUCCAACCUUAUUUUCUUGUGCUUGUAUUAUAUUCAGUCUUUUAAUCAAUUCUAACUGCGUGUGUUCCGUGCGUUGUGUUCUUUCUUACCUGUUGUUGCUCUCUCCCUUCUCCUUUUCACUCAUUUCUUUGAUUUAACGACAUAAUAUCUCAUCUUUGUUCGUGUAGAUUCAUUUUUGUAUCUACCUAUGAGGCGGUUGAUGAAAAUCCAAGAUACUGCAGUGGCAGAUUAAUAUAUGUGUAACAAAUUAUGCUUGAUAAUCUGCCCAAAAUUUUCAUGACAUUUAGUCUCGGUCCUUGAUUAUUUUCUUUCGAAGGAGGGUUCCAGGAGUACUGGGCCUCCGUCGGAUGCAGGAGUACUGGGCCUCCGUCGGAUGCGCCGUCAUGCAGUGCAGCAACACCAAAUCACCACCCUUUUCCUCUCUUCUACUCCUACUUGUAUCCGCCAGCUAUGUAGAUUCACCAGCAGCAGCAUCAAUCAAUGGCUGAUAGAUAUAAUGACGGUUCUUAAUUUUCCCAAUCAAUCCAUCGAGCAGGUCGGCGCCGGGACGAUGAACCCCCUCACCUUCAUCCGGGUGCUGGGCCGCGAGCCGUGGAACGUCGCCCGGUGCAGCUCGCUAGGAUGCUCAGGCGAUAGGUUUGUUCUUUCCAUUAGUUCGAUUGAUUCAGGUUUGUCUCGGAUGGUUUGGGUUCAAGGCAUCUUUGAUGCUAUUGUACGGUGGCAUGUAUGUGAUUUACUUCUUUUGUUUGUUCUCUCGACCCUGUCACUCUCCGUUGGAUUUUGGGAGUUUGCCCUGCUAUCCAUCUGUGUGAUGCAGUCCUCCUUUCCAUGUCCUUUUGUUCUUUUUAUUGUGUUUUUUGGUCUUGCUUACAAUUUGUUGGUCAUGCUUAACAUACUCUUGCCUGUAGUUAGACAUUUGUAGCUGAAAGAGAAGUAUAUUAUGCAAUACAGAGGAACUCUAUGAAUUACUCUUUGCCUGGUAACCUUUUUCUAUAUUUACAUUUGUUUCAGGUCCUAUUGGAGUUUAUCUACUGCAAAUGUUCUGCUGCGAUUUAGCUCGGAGCGCUGCCUCGAGUGCUUAGUUUCGUCUUGCCGAGGUGCUGAGAAUCCAACGUGAGCAGCUGCUUUUGGAUUUCUACAAUGACCAUAGGUGUUUGAAGAGAAGAUACGAGUGAUAGUGGGCCUGGUGAUGAGGGCAUCAAGACAAAGAGAUUAAUGCACAAUUCUGUUCUUGAUAGGUUGUACAAAUUUCAAGAUGUGAGAAAGAAGAGAAGAGGAAGAGUCUCGAGCAUCUCUCUCUCUAACACAAUCAUGUAUGUCCUGCACGUGGUCCCAACACCUCUCCUCCUGCCUUGCCGCCGUCCAUCCCUGCAUCUCUUCCUCAGCCUCUCGGACAGCACCGAGCUGCGGCCACCCCGUGCUCGAGAGGAGGGGACAAGCAGCCGCAUGGUAGGAGCAGCCGCAACAGCCAUCGAUGCUGCCUCAUCAACCGCGCCUCACGCCACCAUCCGUCCACCAGGUGAACAGGAGAGGCGGAGGAUGAGACAGCCAUCUCGGGUCUUGGGUCCGCCGGAUCUUGAUCCUGCCUCUACAUGGCCUAUCGUCCGCCUCUUCUUUCAUCUUGCGUGGCUGCUCUGCUCGACGUCUUUCUUCCUCGUCAUAGGUGCUCAAUAGGAGAAGCACGAGCAGCCGAGCGUUCUCCUGGUUUAUUCCCUUCUUACUGAUUUACCCCCCAAGCUGCAGCGUCAGCCGCCGCAAAAAUGGACCCCAAAGUGUCCUCGUCCUUGUCCAAUAGGUGCAUUCUCACUUCAGUACGAGUAGAGUAGGAAGAACGAGACAAAGACGAUGAACUUGUGAAUGGAACCAAGACCAACACUCAACCGCGUGCUGAUCUCUGCUAUGUGGAGCCGAGCGUGAGGCCCGACGACAGCCGCUACGGCGACAACCCCAACAGGCUCCAGCGCCACACCCAGUUCAAGUUUCUGUUGUAGAUUCAGUACAGAGAGGCGCCGUGUCUUCCCCAGGCUUGCUGUAAAAAUAUCUUAGUUCGCUUGUGGGCAUUGCAAGGAAUACUGAAAGAAUCUCAUUCGCUUUUCGCGAUGUUUCAUGGACCCAUUCGAACUUUACUUGACAGACAACCAAGUGCUGAAUUUGCCCGUGGUCACCUCCACACAUCACAGUGUUGAAUUCUUCCGAGUCUCGUUUUACUGCUAUCUAAAAUGUUAGCAUUUUUUUCACACAGUGCUUGAGCAGAUAGCAAGCACUGCAUAGUCUAUGAUGCCAAAAUUAGUGUUCCAUUUUUUAGUAGAUAUGGACAUGAAGGCAUUUGUUUUAGUGUCAAAUAUUACUUACUAAUGCCCGCAAAGUAUCGUUGUGUAUUA